rnacentral:rRNA from 1 species
UCGCGCGUUAAUACGUUAGGGGGCAAGCGUUGUCCGGGAGUUUUUGUCGUUUAACGAGCACAGGCGUUUCUUAAUUUUAUUGUGAAAGCCCCCGCUUCACCCGGGGAGGGUCCAUUGGAAAUGGGAGACUGGAGUCCAGAAGAGGAGAAGUGGAUUUCCAUGUGUAGGCGUUGAAAUGGUAAGAUAUAUGGAGGACCACCAGUGGCGAGGGCGGCUUUUUGUUCGUUACCUGACGCUGGGGCUCGAAAGCGUGGGGAGCAACCAGGAUUAGUUACCCUGGUAGUCCCCCGGUAAACGAGGAGUGUUAAGUGUUGGAGGGUUUCCGCCCUUCAGUGCGGCAGUUAACGCAUUAACCAUUCCGCCUGGGGAGUACGCCCCCAAGGUUGAAAUUCAAAGGAAUUGCCGGGGGCCCGCCCAAGCGGUGGACCAUGUGGUUUAAUUGGAAGCAACGGGAAGACCCUUACCAGUUCUUGCCUUCCUUUGACCACUUUAGAGAUAGAGCUUCCCCUUCGGGGGCAAAGUGCCAGGUGGUCCAUGGUUGUCUUCAGCUCGUUUCGUGAGAUGUUGGGUUAAGUCCCGCAACGAGCGCAACCCUUAUUGUUAGUUGCCAUCAUUCAGUUGGCCAUUCUACCAAGACUCCCGGUGCCAAACCGGAGGAAGGGGGGGAGGACGUCAAAUCAUCAUGCCCCUUAUGCCCUGGGUUCCCCACGUGUUCCAAUGGGAAGUCCAACGAGUUGGGAAGUCGGGAGGUUAAGUUAAUUUCUUAAAGCUUUUUUCAGUUCGGAUUCCAGGCUGCAAUUCGCCUCCAGGAAGCCGGAAUCGUUAGUAAUCGCGGAUCACCACGCCGCGGGGAAUACGUUCCCGGCCCUUGUCCCCACCGCCCGUCCCACCACGAGAGUUUGUACCACCCGAAGUCGUGGAGGUAACCUUUUGGAGCCAGCCGCUA